rnacentral:rRNA from 1 species
AUACGAAGGGUGCAAGCGUUACUCGGAAUUACUGGGCGUAAAGCGUGCGCAGGCGGUUUUGUAAGACAGAGGUGAAAUCCCCGGGCUCAACCUGGGAACUGCCUUUGUGACUGCAAGGCUAGAGUACGGCAGAGGGGGAUGGAAUUCCGCGUGUAGCAGUGAAAUGCGGAGAUAUGCGGGGGAACACCGAUGGCGAAGGCGAUCCCCUGGGCCUGUACUGACGCUCAUGCACGAAAGCGUGGGGAGCAAACAGGAUUAGAUACCCUGGUAGUCCACGCCCUAAACGAUUUCAACUGGUUGUUGGGUCUUCAUUGACUCAGUAACGAAGCUAACGCGUGAAGUUGACCGCCUGGGGAGUACGGCCGCAAGGUUGAAACUCAAAUGAAUUGACGGGG